CAAAAACAUCGCCUCUUGAUCAACCAUAAGAGGUCCAGCCUGCCCGGUGACAAAGUUUAACGGCCGCGGUACCCUAACCGUGCGAAGGUAGCAUAAUCACUUGUUCUUUAAAUAGGGACUAGUAUCAACGGCAUCACGAGGGUUACACUGUCUCCUUUCCCCAAUCAGUGAAACUGAUCUCCCCGUGAAGAAGCGGGGAUAUAACUAUAAGACGAGAAGACCCCAUGGAGCUUUAAGCUCAACAACACCUCUAUAUAAAUAUAUCUCCAUAACCCACGAGCCCUGUUUGUUAGCUUUAGGUUGGGGUGACCGCGGAGUAUAACAUAACCUCCACGACGAAUAGGCCUAAAACCUUUAUCCAAGAGCUACUGCUCUAAGAAUCAUAAAAUUGACAUAAAAUGAUCCGAUUUUCGAUCAACGAACCAAGUUACCCUGGGGAUAACAGCGCAAUCCAUUUCAAGAGCCCCUAUCGACAAAUGGGUUUACGACCUCGAUGUUGGAUCAGGGUAUCCUAGUGGUGCAGCCGCUACUAAAGGUUCGUUUGUUCAACGAUUAAAACCCUAC
rnacentral:rRNA from 1 species